AAUUGUUGCCCAUGCCCGAGUCUUCCAUCCACAUCGCAGCUGAAGAAUUAAUUCAAGUCGGUCUUCGAUGUCCAACCCCCAAACAUAAACACGAACCGGAAACGGAAACGAGCAUUAGCUUGUCUGGACGUCUUGUUGGGUAAUGUUGUUUUGCCUGAAUCGAACACGUGAGCUGAGUUAGUUUAACUACGUUAGCACCGAGUAAGGCGUUUUUUUGUAUUGUUUACGUGCGCUGUAGACGACCACAAAUAAGAAAUGUUGUCUCAACGUCGGUUGCUGUCAGUCUACGUGAAAAAGUGGCGACUUGUGCCAAGGCUGGAGGAGGGAUGAACACUGCUGCCACUGACUCAAGUGUUCAGCACAUGGUUGGAUCUGCACUACAAUGAUGGAAACCUCCUUUUGGACAGUCUUCAGCCUGUGGCAGCAGAAGUGGAGCAGCACGUGGACCUGAGACAAAAACGCCACUGGUGCGCUCACAAUUGCAUGAGCAGGACAAUCACAUUUGGCUCAGCACCUGGAAACAAACAAUGUUGGGAAGGUUGGAGUUUCGUGCGCUCAAAGCUUACUGAGAAACUUGUUCAAGCCGAUGUGAUCAAGCCAAGUGUUGGACGACAGUCGCAUCCUUGUGAAGUGGACCCAAUAAUAAUAAGACCUAAGAAAAAGAACACACUUGCAGUGCAUUUCUGGUGCAGCAAAUUUGAGACGAUGACUCCCACCAGUGAGGAAGAGCACCUUGGAGGUCUACUGCAGGAAUCGAACCAUGUUGGCGGACUGCUCCAAAGUUUGCUUCUGGAAGCCACUGCAAAGUCACAUAAAUUAAAAGAAAAAGUGCUUUGGCGCCAUCCGGUGGACAUAUACAGGAAGGAAAAAAAAAUGAGUGUGCAAGCACAGAAUGGUGAAGUUACCUUUUUGACGGCCCCGAGAGACACGUCCCAGUGCAGCUUUGGGGGAACUACAAAAGAAAUUUGUUUUAAAAAGUUUGCGGCAGCCAUUUUGUUUUGCAGUGGCCAGCCUCAUUCGCCGCACUCGUUUGUGAGGCAGCUCUGGAUGAAGUCAAGAUGCUGUUCAAACGCGCACAAAAAAAAAAAGAAGUCAGAAAUAGUGAAUGCAAGUCAUUUACAAUGUCAAUACUGUCAUUCAAUCUUGUGCAGGAGCGAUACAGCAUUCUGAGGCCAGGCUCUCAACUUGAUUUUUCAAGCAGUCUGAAGAGUGCAGAGAACAGUAAGGUUGGGUACGGAACUAACUUUUGACAUUUGUUGUGCGUUCCCACCCGAACAGGUCAUCACUGGAAGCCUCCUGCUGACGUAGCUCAUCUUCACCAUUUUCUGAAAAAAUUAAAACAUGACAUCAGUAUAAUUGUA